AUCAUGGCUCAGAUUGAACGCUGGCGGCGUGCUUAACACAUGCAAGUCGCGCGUGAAAGGACUUCGGUCCGAGUAAAGCGGCGCACGGGUGAGUAACGCGUGGAUGAUCUACCCAUGAGUUAGGAAUAACGGCUGGAAACGGUCGCUAAUACCAAAUACGCUCCGAUUUCAACUUCGGGGGAAAGGUGGCCUCUGCUUGCAAGCUACUGCUCAUGGAUGAGUCCGCGUCCCAUUAGCUAGUUGGUGGGGUAACGGCCCACCAAGGCGACGAUGGGUAGCCGGUCUGAGAGGAUGACCGGCCACACUGGGACUGGAACACGGCCCAGACUCCUACGGGAGGCAGCAGUGGGGAAUAUUGCGCAAUGGGCGAAAGCCUGACGCAGCGACGCCGCGUGAGGGAUGAAGGUCCUCGGAUCGUAAACCUCUGUCAGGAGGGAAGAACCGCCACGGUGCUAAUCAGCCGUGGUCUGACGGUACCUCCAAAGGAAGCACCGGCUAACUCCGUGCCAGCCGCAGC
rnacentral:rRNA from 1 species